rnacentral:rRNA from 1 species
UACGUAGGGGGCAAGCGUUGUCCGGAAUUAUUGGGCGUAAAGAGCGCGUAGGCGGUCCGGUAAGUCGGUUGUGAAAGUCGGGGGCUCAACCCUCGGAUGCCGAUCGAUACUGUCGGGCUAGAGUCCGGAAGAGGCGAGUGGAAUUCCUGGUGUAGCGGUGAAAUGCGCAGAUAUCAGGAGGAAUACCGGUGGCGAAGGCGGCAUCCUGGACCGACAUUGACGCUGAUGAGCGAAAGCUAGGGGAGCAAACGGG